rnacentral:rRNA from 1 species
AUUGAACGCUGGCGGCAUGCUUUACACAUGCAAGUCGAACGGCAGCGCGGGCUUCGGCCUGGCGGCGAGUGGCGAACGGGUGAGUAAUGCAUCGGAACGUGCCCAGUAGUGGGGGAUAGCCCGGCGAAAGCCGGAUUAAUACCGCAUACGACCUGAGGGUGAAAGCGGGGGACCGAAAGGCCUCGCGCUAUUGGAGCGGCCGAUGUCGGAUUAGCUAGUUGGUGGGGUAAAGGCUUACCAAGGCGACGAUCCGUAGCUGGUCUGAGAGGACGACCAGCCACACUGGGACUGAGACACGGCCCAGACUCCUACGGGAGGCAGCAGUGGGGAAUUUUGGACAAUGGGGGCAACCCUGAUCCUGCCAUGCCGCGUGCGGGAAGAAGGCCUUCGGGUUGUAAACCGCUUUUGUUCGGGAAGAAAUCCUCUGGGCUAAUACCCCGGGGGGAUGACGGUACCGGAAGAAUAAGCACCGGCUAACUACGUG